rnacentral:lncRNA from 1 species
GAGUAAAUCCAUCUCAACUAAUGGUAACUCUGUUAUAUUUAUUUCCUUAUGGCAGUGGUUUCCUAACUUUCAAAUAUAGCGACCCAUUUCAGAACAAGACAUAACCCCAUUCUUAAAUUAUCUUUUAAGUAAAUUCAUUUAUUUGUAUGGCAAAUCGCCAUAUAUUACGAUUAUGAAUUAUAAAUUAUUUAUUCGUGAAUUAACUAUAAUUCCCUAAAUCUUUCAUCAGAGAAGAAAAUCCCCCAGUCACCAUAAUUUUUGAGAUUUAGAAAAUAAAACUCUUUAAGUUCGAGGAACAAUUGUAUUCAGAUGUCAUAACUGAUAUUAUUUUUUUAAAUAUAUCAAAAAUUUCCCCCUGUUUCUGAAGAUUCUAAAUUUCCUUUUUUACAUCUUAUGAAAUAGUUCUUUGUCGGGGUAUGUUUGUACUAAAUUCCUUCACUUAAACAUUUUAUAUAGGCCAAAUUACAGCGUGAGUUUUAAAUGCAAGUCAUUGUGCCAUUUUAAUAAGCUAUUGAAGUAUCAGUAUGUAUUUGAAAAUAAUAUUAUUUUUUGUGGAAACGAAAAAAAAUGUUUUUUAAAUUAUUGUAUAAGUAUAAUGACCAAUUCGUCAAUUUGGAAGAAAAAUCUUUUCCUCGUUCGAGGCCAAAAAGAAGCCUUCAUAUUCCAAUACUUUCAACUUUUAAUACUUGGUCGGAUGCUAACAAAUCGUCAAAUUAUAUGAAACUGAAAAAUUCACUAUUUCAAUUAUUUAAUGUCACCAACGUAAAUAAAGAAGGAAAAUGCUCAAAAAACUAGGAAUUAUACAAUAUACAGAUUAAGAGUUGGGGCAAGUUUGAUUAUUCUACGCUCAAAGAGGCAUCUUUAAAAUCAAGAAGACGACCAAUAACCCAAAUUCAGUUUUCACAGCUGUCUGGCGAUAAUUAUUUGCCCAAAUCCGAAUCAAUUUAGUUGUCAUUGUCUUCAUCUUCCUUUACAAGCCAAAUAAAGAUAGAGCAGAAACUACAACUGCUAGUUUACUGACUUGCAGAAACAAUAUUGAUGUUCUUGCAACUAUAUUUGAAAAGAGAUAAUGUAUUUGCUCCAAGUAUGUGAGUAAGUUUUCAAAAAUAAAUUUAUUGGAGUAAA